GUCUUUGUGGUGUAGUGGUCAGCACGCUUGAUGCAUAACCGAGAGGUCCGUGGUUCGAUUCCCGGCGAGGGUG
rnacentral:tRNA from 1 species